GACGAACGCUGGCGGCGUGCUUAACACAUGCAAGUCGAACGGAAAGGCCUGCUUUCCCUUGUGGAUUGCGGGUACUCGAGUGGCGAACGGGUGAGUAACACGUGAGUGAUCUGCCCCCAACUUGGGUAUAAGCCUGGGAAACUGGGUCUAAUUCCCGAUAGGACUGCAGGGUGGUGCCUGUGGUGGAAAACGAUUUUCUAGUGGUUGGGGAUGAGCUCGCGGCCUAUCGGCUUGUUGGUGGGGUAAUGGCCUACCAAGGCGGCGACGGGUAGCCGGCCUGAGAGGGUGGACGGCCACAUUGGGACUGAGAUACGGCCCAGACUCCUACGGGAGGCAGCAGUGGGGAAUAUUGCACAAUGGGCGGAAGCCUGAUGCAGCGACGCCGCGUGGGGGAUGACGGCCUUCGGGUUGUGAACUCCUUUCGACCGCGAGGAAGCCACCUGGUUGGAAGGGUGGUGACGGUAGUGGUAGAAGAAGCACCGGCUAACUACGUG
rnacentral:rRNA from 1 species